UCCCUGGUGGCUCAGAGGGUAAAGCGUCUACCAGCAAUGCAGGAGACCCAGGUUCGAUCCCUGGGUUGGGAA
rnacentral:tRNA from 1 species